AGGGGCAUUUCUGCCAGUGGCGAGGUCAGGGAAAUACCAGUGAAUGGUUGCCAGGUAGACAAAGAGGAAAGGCAUUCUGGAGAGAAGGUGACAGACAGGGUCAAAGCCAGGAAGGGAUGAGGCUGCUGCCCGUGGUGCAUAGACACCUGACCAGCCUACGUUUCUCCUGCCCACUGCAAGGGAGCUGGCGGAGGCUAAUGCUGGAGCCCAAGUGUGUGGGGGUCAGAGUGGAGGAAUGGAGGAUCCAUGAAUCGCGCCCUGACGCCCCAGCAGGUUCUGACUAGAUCUUUUUAUGCUCUUGAAACACAUCUUCUUAAACAAUAAGAUGCACACAGACACCAAGAAGUGCAUGAAACAAUGGAAUCAGACAUUCAGCAACUGCAAAAAUGUUUCCUGAAUCCAGUUCUUUUAAUUCCUAGGGUAUAGUGUUAUGCAGUUAACCAGGAAAGCCAUCUUCUCUGAUUGCUAAAUGAAUGAUACUGGAAUUUGCCCAGAAAGAAAACAACAACAAUGACAACAACGACAUUGUUUUAGUAGACUUUGUUGUUCUCUGUGAUAUCCCUGCAUACAAGACUGCCCCCUUUUCAUACUGACACCAUCAGAAGGAACGGCUUAACCACAACACUGAUUCUCUCAAGGAGGAAAGAAUCAUCUAGAAGUCAUGGCAAUAUAGCUCUUUCUUUAAGAUGAAAUGAUGAGUUAGUAAAUGAAGACAGGAGUUGUUUGUCUUUCAUUAAUUACCCAUUUCUCUGAAUUUUAGUUAAUAUUUGUAAAUAGCUCGUGUUAACGAAUGGGUGGGAGCAUUGGAGUCACGAAGGAAAAAGAACCAGAAGCUAGAGGGUAAAGCCAGUAAGGGUCUGAUUGAUGGCAAAGGUCCAGAGACCAAGGGAAGAACCAUGGCAUUUCAGAUGCAAAAUACAAAUUUGAAAAGGUCCUUUUAAUUUAUUUCCUUCCUGUUACUCCUGGUUUUUCCUUUCAUUUAUUCUGUUCUU